AAUCAACGCUGGCGGCGUGCCUCAGACAUGCAAGUCGAACGAUUAAAGCUCUCUUCGGAGAGUGUAUAGAGUGGCGCACGGGUGAGUAACACGUAAGUAAUCUACCCUCGAGUGGGGAAUAACAACCGGAAACGGUUGCUAAUACCGCAUAAUGCAGCGGCACCGCAAGGUGACAGUUGUUAAAGAUUUAUCGCUUGAGGAGGAGCUUGCGGCAGAUUAGCUAGUUGGUAGGGUAACGGCUUACCAAGGCUACGAUCUGUAACCGGUCUAAGAGGACGGUCGGUCACACUGACACUGAAUAACGGGUCAGACUCCUACGGGAGGCAGCAGUCGGGAAUUUUGGGCAAUGGGCGAAAGCCUGACCCAGCAACGCCGCGUGAAGGAUGAAGUAUUUCGGUAUGUAAACUUCGAAAGAAUAGGAAGAAUUAAUGACGGUACUAUUUAUAAAGGUCCGGCUAACUACGUGCCAGCAGCCGCGGUAAU
rnacentral:rRNA from 1 species